GAUGAACGCUAGCGGCAGGCCUAAUACAUGCAAGUCGGACGGGAUUGGAGAGCUUGCUUCCCAUGAGAGUGGCGCACGGGUGCGUAACACGUAUGUAACCUACCUUGUUCAGGGGGAUAGCCUCUCGAAAGAGAGAUUAAGACCGCAUAACAUUGCGAUGUGGCAUCACAUUGUAAUCAAAUAUUUAUAGGAACAAGAUGGGCAUGCGGAACAUUAGCUAGUUGGUAAGGUAACGGCUUACCAAGGCUACGAUGUUUAGGGGAUCUGAGAGGAUGACCCCCCACACUGGUACUGAGACACGGACCAGACUCCUACGGGAGGCAGCAGUAAGGAAUAUUGGUCAAUGGGCGGAAGCCUGAACCAGCCAUGCCGCGUGCAGGAAGACGGCCCUAUGGGUUGUAAACUGCUUUUGCAGGGGAAUAAACCUUGGUACGUGUACCAAGCUGAAUGUACUCUGAGAAUAAGGAUCGGCUAACUCCGUGCCAGCAGCCGCAGUAA
rnacentral:rRNA from 1 species